rfam:Felis catus isolate Cinnamon breed Abyssinian chromosome X, whole genome shotgun sequence.
GCCUGGGUGGCUCAGUCGGUUAAGCGUCUGACUUCAGCUCAGGUCACGAUCUCGCGGUCCGUGUGUUCAAGCCCCGCGUCAGGCU